rnacentral:misc_RNA from 1 species
GUGAAUCAUCGAAUUUUUGAACGCAAAUUGCACUCUCUUCGGAGAGUAUGCCUGUUUGAGGGUCAGCCUAUAAAAAAUGACAUUGUUGCCGUUUUGCGGUGGCGAUUGUCGGAAAUUGGGUUAUUCUAAAUCCUUUUGAUUUAUGAGACUUCAUAUAAUUUUCUGGAUCAAUGCACGUACGUAUGUACUAUUUACUUAUUAGACUAUGGU